rnacentral:lncRNA from 1 species
GUGACAUCUAGUUACGGCAUGUUUGGGUUUAGAGACUGAGGGUGGCUUUCCCCAGGGGUCCCACAGCCUGCUGAUGAAGUACUUGGCACACCCCGCGCUCCCCUGGGUUCUAGCUUGCAUCCUGGUCUCUAACUGAAUGGUAGCCCGCCUACUUAGCUUGAGUGUUUCAAGGACUCCUCCUGGUCAAGAGCUGGGUUUCCCUAUUCAUUUCAUUUAAACAAGCUCCCAAGAAGGCAACAGGGACCCACUGUACCCCAAGAGGCACUCCAAGUUUCCUUCAGAGAGGAAAAAGAGAGACGGGGCUCCUAGAACCCACUCUCCCCAAAGGCGAGUUUCCCAGGCGCCGCUCGUGCUGUUGCUGGAAAGCGAGCUCGCUGUAGACCGGCCGCGACACCAUGUAGCUGCAGCUGUACUCGGGGAGCUGCGGCGGCUCCGACCUGCCGCCUGGCGCUGCCAUGACCUGCGAGCCAGAGGACAGCGAGGAGGGAGGACACGCGGGAAGGAAUAAACUGGACUACAUGGAAAUCAAGACUAGAAGAGAGGGAGGAGGAGCUGGAGCUAUCCUACCUCAUCAGUGUUUUGUCUUCUGUUGGGAUGAACUUUGUUAAAACUAAUGCAUGGUUAAGAUGAAAGGCAGAAGGAAGGGUUUGAUAAACCAGAACAUUCUCGCCUGAUUGUUAGUGUUCUGAAGUAAAUACAGAAGAGGCUCCAAAAUACAGACCUCUGUACAUCAACCUUCCGUAAUCCACCUGCCUUGCAUAUGCAGACCAUGACAAUUCUACGAGCUCCUGGAAACAGAACUCAGAACUCCUCCCCAGAGAACCCUGAUGCAAAUUCUCUGAAAUGGUAGUCAGCAUGUGCGUUUUCCUGAGAAGUGAAUGAGUCAACAGCUUUCAACAGAUCUUCAAAGGCUUACUUCACCCAAUGAAGUUAAGAACCACUAAAGAAGAAACCUAAAAGGAAAAUCCAGGUCAUGAACUUUGCAAUUUUUAUUCACAUACAGAGAAGAGGGGAGGAAUCUCUUGUGUAUGUUUUACUUAUGUAUACCACUGGUUCUUAAUAAAGGGCUUUUUUUGCCUCCAGAGGUCAAUGCCUGGAGACAUUUUUGGUUGUCACACCUAGGGAGAUGCUAUUGGGAUCUAGUGAGUAGAGACCAGAGAUGCUGCUAAACAUCCUACAAUGAAGUUUGCUAUCACUCCAAGGUUUUGCAUGCGACUUAAACUGUACAUUUAUUAAUCAAUUGCUACAUGUACUAAAAUAUGUAUCUCUCUCCAUAUAUGUAUAUAUGCGUGUAUUUUUUCAUUAUUGUUGGAUGUAUAGCUCAACUCCACUACAACAGAGGAAAGUAUUUGUUUUAAAGUAGAAUCUGAAUAUACUCACUCUGUAUACCCUCAUCCAUACCUUCAAGAUCUGGUGAAAACACUAUCUCUUGCAAGAACAUUCUUUGAUGCUGUUCAGAAUUAAUCCAGACCCUUUUCUGUAUUCUCUUAAUACCUUAUCUGAUCCUCUCUUAAGUUACUUCUCACUAUCUACCUUAGUAACACAAUUUUAUUUACAUACAAGUUCUCUCUCCCUCACUAGACAAAAACUUCUUGAGGGCAAGCACUGUGUCUCCUUUCAACCAUUAUUAUCUUCUCUCAUGUUUUUUGAACAGAUUUAUCUAUAGCCCAAACAUACCUUUUCAAAAAACUAAAAAUUACUUUACAUAUUUGAUCUAAGGCUUUGUUUUUCUCCAUUAAGAGCAUGCUGUGGAUAUCUUUGCAAGUGAGUGCAUAAGGAUUUUUCUUAACCUUGGAGAUGGCUGUCUAGGAUUUCAGAAUAUCAACUCAUAUUUGUAGCUCCAUGGCAACUCACCUACACAACUCACAACUCUUUAUUGAAGGCAUUCUGUACCAAUAUAAAUAUAGUCCAUAUCCCAUUCUAAUAUGGAUUUCUGCUCCUUGUUGCUUGCUAUUUUGAACACUUUUAGUCUGGUCCAGUCAGGCCUAUAAACCACUUUGCAUCAGAACUUGGCAAUGGUUUGCUGGUUCAGAGGAUUAAGGAGUGGGGUAAGGCUGGCAGAAGGACAGAAGAGAAAAGACUUGAGUAACAACAGGAGGCAAAAGAGUAACUUAGCUUGGCUAAUAGAAUUCUUAUUUGAAAUGCAUCUCUCUAUAUAAGAGUUUGGUUCAAUAAUCACAAUAUAAUAAGUCCUGCAUGUAUCUGGAUGAAGAUAAUUGCUUUUUUCUGUUCAAUGCUUUUCCAUAGCAGAAAUAGCUGGGGCAGAACAAAAUGGUAUCUCUGUUACAGGAUUCUAUAAGGGUAUAGAACUGCUUUUCUCAUAGGUAAAAGGCAGACCGUUUGAAUUUGGCUUUUUAAAAACAGAAGAGUAGGAGGAAAUAACAGCUUGCUCUCUCCACCCUAUUUAAUUGUGAUAUUAAACACCUUAGAUUACUCACUUGGGCUUUAUAAGGCAACCUUCUCCUGUUUCACACAGAGGUGGGUGGUUCUUAUUUAUCAGACUUUUAAAAUAUUCAGGACUUCUUUCCAAAGAAAUAGAUGCAUCACUUAAAAAUAAAUAUCAGACAAUAUUAUUGAUACUUUACAGUACUUAUUUAGCAGUUAAUACUUUUUUAAAAGGCAUUUUCUUAUUUAUCAUUUAGGCAUUUGCAGUGUAAGACAAACUCCCUUGUUUGAUUACGCAUUCACCUGUUCAUUCAUUCAUUCAUUCAAGGAUUUAUUAGGAAAUUAUUUGUGCUGGCUGUGGGUACAAUGAUGAACAAAAGCUUAUACCCUGGCCUCAUAUUUAUGGGUGCAGUAGACACUAAUCAAAUGGUCACAAAAUGUGUAUCUUAUUUCACUGAUUAUAAAAUACAGAUUUUUCACAUUUUAUCAGGGUUCAUGUUAUAAUUGAUGAUCUACUAUAUAUUAUAGUUUAAUUGAUAGCGUAUUUUGUGAUUCAUAAAAUGAGUUUUAUAAUAGAAUUCUAUAAUUAAUAAAAUAUAGAUAUUUACAUAAAUUUAUAGUGUAUCUAUGCCUUUUUUUUCUUUUUUAGAGAUGGGAUCUUGCUAUUUUGCCCAGGCUGGACUUGAACUCCCAGUCUCCAGAAUAGCUGGGACUAUAGGUGCACACCACCACACCUGACAGAGUAUCUAUGCUUUUGAGUGACUACGUGUGCUACAAGAAUGAUUUAAUUGAAUCCUUCGUUUAUUUAACUUAAGAGCAGUCAAUCUUGCUACAUUAUUUUUGUCUGAGAGCGAAUAUUGUGGUAUAAAUUUUUUCUUUUUUUUUUUUUUUUUACAAUUUAAAAUGUUCUCAAAUCAGAAGAAUUGCAAAAGAAUGCAAACAUGUUGGCUGGGCGCUGUGGCUCACAGUGUAAUCCCAACACUUUGAGAAGCUGAGGCGGGAGGAUCACUUGAGCCAGGCCUAAUCCUGAGCUUUUAUUUCAUUAUGCGUGUUAAUUUUCUCAAGAUAGCAAAUGCUAAAUUUUUGUCAUACUUAUACAAAAAGAGAACUGAACUGAACUUUCUUUCUAUAUUUCUGAUCUCUUCUUCUCUGAGCAACUUAUUGGGCUUAUUCUCAGUAAUCAUACAGUUUUGCACUCAAUUGUUUUCUUGGUUUUUUGUUGUUAUUUUUAUCUUGCACUCAAUUGUUUUCUAUUUGUUUACUGUAUGCUACUUUAUUUUCUUCUCCAGUUAUAAGAUAUGCUCCCUAGGGACAUAAAUAGUAUAUGUCUUUUAUGGUGUUACAAAAAUAAGAUGUGCCUGUAGUAAAUAAUUUGGAAACUACAUUAAUGUAUAAUAUAGUAAUCACAUUUUAUCUCAUUAUCCAGAUAAUCACUGUUUUGCUUCUUUUUUUAUUUAUUCUUUCUAUGCAGACAUAGGUAUACAUUUUUAUUAAAGUAAAAUUAUAAUGCUAGUCUCUUUAUUUCCCUACACAAUACCUUGACAAAUUAUGACAAUAUAAUAGGUACCAGACUUGUUAAAUUAUUGAUCAAUUGAUUGUUUAACAAUGGAAUUUUGAGAAAUAUUUGGGUAGAAAAAAAACUAGUUUUAAAAGAAGAGAAUCCAACCAUUAAAACAUCAAAAAAUGAAAUUAUUUGUAAAUAUUAUGUGGCAAUCCAUUCAAUUUUAAACAACUUACAGUGUCAAUAAAACUAUAACUCAAUAAAUUUCUCAGGCAGAGCCCAUCUGCCUCUUCUUUAAUAUGAAUGCAAACUUGAUAUGUGGUUUAGUAAAUUGCUAGAACGAAAUGAUGGCAUAGUUUUGGGUUUUGAGGGGUUUUCUGUGUGUGUGUGUGUGUGUGUGUGUUUGUUUGUUUGUUUUAAACAGGGUCUGGCUCUGUCACCCAGGUUGAAGUGCAGUGACACUAUCUCAGCUCACUGCAACCUUCACCUCCAAAGCUCAAGCCAUUCUCCACCUCAGCCUCCCAAGUAGUUGAGACUAUAGGCAUGUGCCACCACACCCGGCUAAUUUUUGUAUUUUUUGUAGAGACAGGGUUUUGCCAUCUUGCUCAGGCUGGUCUCAAACUCCUGUGCUCAAGAGAUCCACCUGCUUCAUCCUCCCAGGGUGCUGGGAUUACAUGUGUGAGCCACCACACCCAGGUGGGUUUCUUUUAAUGUUUGUUUUAAUGAUGAUUUUUUUUUUUCAAGAGAUGGGGUCUCGCUUUGUUACCCAGGCUGGUCUCAAACUCCUGGGCUCAAAUAAUCCUACCACCUCAGCCUUCCAAAAUGCUGAUUAUAAAAUGACAUUACAGGCAGGAGCCAACUGCACUUGGCCUGGAUGUUUUCUUUCUUUUUUUUAGAGAUGGGGGUCUCACCUCAGUCCCUGAAGUAGCUGGCAUUACAGGCCUGUGCCACUAUGUCGAGCCAAUAAUGGCAUAGUUUUCUAAGCAAAGAAUAAUUUCAGGAUCCUUCCAAAUUUCUUAUUAUUUAAGUGUAUUGCACUUUUAAAGUUAUCCUUGCAUAUCUUAUCUCAUGAAAUCUGUGGUUUGUUAAUGGAGGGAGAAAAGGGAAGCUUGAGGAUUGUUUCAAGUAAACACUGAUGUGCUGUGUUACCACGAGUUGGAUGUUUAAGUAUUCCAUUCAUUCGUUUAAUUAUUCAUUCAUUGAUUCAUACAUUUAUUUACUUACACCAUGAGUAUUUAGUGAACCCUUAACUUGUAUCAAACACUAUCUAAGUGUCGGGGAUACAGCAGUGAACAAGUUUGUCAAAGUUCCUGCCUUCAAAGUACUUCUAAUGGGGGACAGUGAUUAUCAGCAAAAAAAAUAAAUCAGAUAACAUUCUGUUGUGACGAAAUGCUAUGGGAGAAAGAGAAAGAUGUCUUGUGGAAUUACUGAUGGAGCAACACACAGCAAGGGGAGGAGGAGGACCACCUUAGAGGGGGUGUUCAGGGAAGGCCUUUCUCUUUCAGAGGAAAUGACAUUUGAAGAGAGACUAAAGGAUGAGAAAAAGACAGCCUUCCUGGAAGAGGAAACAGCAAAUGCAAAAACUCUGAGUUAGGAAAGAACUUGAUGCACUUGAGAAACAAAAAGAAGGCCGGCAAGACUGAAAUCCACAUAAGUCAGACCCGGGCACAGCAAACUGGACGUCCUCAGUAUAUAUGUGGCAACUGAAACCAGGCAUUUAGGACAUGAUCUCAUUCUGUUGCCCAGGGUGAGUGCAGUGGCACCUUCAUGGCUCAUUGCAGUCUCGAUCUCCCAGGCUCAAGCGAUCCUCCCACCUCAGCCUCCCAAAGUGCUGGGAUUGCAGGCGUGAGCCACCUUGCCCAGCCCAUUCUGCAAUCUUCGGAAGGAAGUCACUAUAUGCAGCCUAUGCUUGAGGAGUGGGGAGUUGAAUUCCACAUCCUUGAGGGCAGAAUACCUAAAUAAAUUAUUUGGAAUUCUUCUGCAAGAGAGAUUUGUCUCUUCUCCUCCAUUUAUUCAUUUAUUCAAUUAUUUCUUCAUGUCAUAAAAUCAUGAAUAUUUAUUUUAUAUGUUGCAUUAUAAACCAACAGUACUUUUUAAGAAAUCAAAUUGUUCCAGGCUUGGCCAUUAGGAGCUCUUUCAGUUGGCUUCUGUGCCCUUUGACAUAGCCCCACCAAUGUAGGGUGGUUUUGUCUUUUGGUUUUGGAGCAUUUUCUUACUUUUUGGCACUGUAAGAUGCUCCAGGCUGAUCUCGUGUAUUCCUGUGUAAAAUCAGCCAUUUCUCAAAGGAACACUUGUUCCUUUUAUCGGUGAAUGGUAUAAGCAACCAAUAUCUGGGUGACAGAGUGUUCCCUGCUGCAGGGGAAUUGUUGCUCUAGGCCCUUUCAGCUGACAGAGCAAAGAAAUAUGUGUGUAUAUCAACCAAGGCAUAUAUACACAUCAAUAAUAUUUCUAUAUCUAAUCAUCUAUAUUUCUAUUAAAUUAAACAUAAGUUCAUACUAAUUAAGAGAUAUUUUUAUUUUAUAGUAUUUUGUACUAUUUGAGGUGAUUUUUUAAUAGGUCAAUUUGUUACUUUGUCAAUCAUUUUAAAAGAAAUUAUAUUAUGUUUCAAAUGCCCUAGUGAUAAGAUAAAUUAUAUAUACGUAUGUCUUGAUAGUUGUGGAUUACUAGAUGCAAAACAAAUGGUCUAUUGGUAUUGUUUGUUUGUUUGUUUGUUUUAGAGACAGGGUCACACUCUGUCACCCAGGCUGGAGUGCAGUGGUGUGAUGAUAGCUCAUUGCAGACUCGAUCUCCUGGGCUCAAGCGAUCCUUCCACCUCAGCCUUCCAAAUAGCUGGGAUUACAGGCAUGCACCACCAUACCUGGCUAGUUUUUAAUUUUUUGUAGAGAUGGGGUCUCACUAUGUUGCCUAGGAUAGUCUUGAAUUCCUGGUCUCAAGUGACC